AGUCAUGUGGUGAGCACAAAGCGAACUAUUCUUUCGCCUUUUACUAAAGAAUACCGUGUGCUCUCCACGCUAAGUGGCAUACGCCUAUUUUUGGAGGGAUCUGCCUUUGGGUGGAC
rnacentral:snRNA from 1 species